GGCUUAGUGCUCGAAAGAGAACCGUAACACAGGUGCUGCAUGGCUGUCGUCAGCUCGUGUCGUGAGAUGUCGGGUUAAGUCCCGCAACGAGCGCAACCCUUGUCAUUAGUUGCUACAUUUAGUUGGGCACUCUAAUGAGACUGCCGGUGACAAACCGGAGGAAGGUGGGGAUGACGUCAAGUCCUCAUGGCCCUUAUAGGUAGGGCUACACACGUCAUACAAUGGAUGGUACAAAGGGUCGCCAACCCGCGAGGGGGAGCCAAAUCCCAUAAAACCAUUCGUAGUCCGGAUCGCAGUCUGCAACUCGACUGCGUGAAGUCGGAAUCGCUAGUAAUCGUGGAUCAGAAUGUCCACGGUCGAAUACGUUCCCGGGUCCUU
rnacentral:rRNA from 1 species